GUAGUCCACGCCGUAAACGAUGUACGCUAGAUCGGUGCGGCUCUGACGCCGGAUCGGUCGAAGUAAAAACGAUAAGCGUACCGCCUGGGGAGUACGGUCGCAAGGCUAAAACUCAAAGGAAUUGACGGGGGCUCACACAAGCGGUGGAGCAUGUUGCUUAAUUCGAGGCAACGCGAAGAACCUUACCUGGGUUUGACAUGGUCGGAUUAACUCCUGGAAACAGGAGCCACACCCGCAAGGGUGGAACGAUCACAGGUGCUGCAUGGCUGUCGUCAGCUCGUGCUGUGAAGUGUCGGGUUAAGUCCUCUAACGAGCGCAACCCCUAUCGUUAGUUGCUCACGCGUAAUGGCGAGUACUCUAGCGAGACUGCCGGUGUCAAACCGGA
rnacentral:rRNA from 1 species